CAGGGUAAAAAUGUAUAAUACAAUUUCAUGCCUUCCCCACUGAAUGGUGAUUCAGGGAACGAAUGAAGUAACAAAUUAGCCAAGGGUUAAGGAAUCAGUGGGUCCUGAGCUCUUUAAGAAACUCCCGUUCAACUCGGGUGAUUUGAGGAACACGGAUAACUUGGACAACCUUUUCUCUAAAACAA